GACGAACCGUCCAAACGUUAUUCGGUAUCACUGGGCUUAAAGCGUGCGUAGGCGGCUUGGUAGGUGUGAUGUGAAAGCCCACGGCUCAACCGUGGAAUUGCGUCGCAAACCCCCAAGCUUGAGGAAGACAGGGGUGUUGGGAACUUAUGGUGGAGCGGUGAAAUGCGUUGAUAUCAUAGGGAACACCGGUGGCGAAGGCG
rnacentral:rRNA from 1 species